rnacentral:rRNA from 1 species
UACGUAGGGUGCAAGCGUUGUCCGGAAUUAUUGGGCGUAAAGAGCUCGUAGGCGGUGUGUCGCGUCGGCCGUGAAAACCUGCAGCUUAACUGUGGGCUUGCGGUCGAUACGGGCAUCACUGGAGUUCGGCAGGGGGAGACUGGAAUUCCUGGUGUAGCGGUGAAAUGCGCAGAUAUCAGGAGGAACACCGGUGGCGAAGGCGGGUCUCUGGGCCGUAACUGACGCUGAGGCGCGAAAGCGUGGGGAGCAAACAGG